CUGAUCCACGGAACAACGUGAAUUUUAGAUUUACUCCAUCCUGCUUAGUCUUUAGAAUUUUAGCAGCCAGGAAUGUAUACACUCCCACUUAUGGAUUAAGUGUGGGAGAGGAAGGUCUGUGACCCAUGUGUGCUAGCAAGUGACAAAUCAGAAACAACUGACUGACCCCCUGGGCUAUCCAAAGCCAAGUUUAAGCCACCAUUGGUACAUGUAAGACACAGGAAGUGAUGUAAAGAACUGCCUUUAUAUUUCACAUCACUUCCUGUGAGAGGGGAUUGUGGGUGGUGGACUUGACUUGGAGGAGCUCAAUCGUGAGACCUCAGACUACUUCCCUGAGACGAUCACGUGGUAUGAUUAUCCGAACUGUCAUUAAGCCAAGAGCCUACCAUUCAAGUGAAAUGCCAGGCUCUGGCCAAAGGGGAGGGCAGUCCAAUAACUUCUAUGGGUGGAUGCCUGUGCCUGGAGAACUUGAGGGGAUGACCUUGCAUAAGAGAAGCCUGCUGAUGACAUUGCUCCAUAUGAGGCACAAGAUUCAAAUAAAGACUGAAAGAUUAAAUGGUAUGUGAAAACCAAAAUUCUCUUAACUUUUAGGAGAAUUAUAGGUUCCUAAUUUGA
rnacentral:lncRNA from 1 species